rnacentral:rRNA from 1 species
UAUGUAGGUGACAAGCGUUGUCCGGAUUUACUGGGCGUAAAGAGCGCGCAGGCGGUCGAUCAAGUCGAGUGUGAAAGCCCCCGGCUCAACUGGGGAGGGUCAUUCGAUACUGAUCGACUCGAAGGCAGGAGAGGGUAGUGGAAUUCCCGGUGUAGUGGUGAAAUGCGUAGAUAUCGGGAGGAACACCAGUGGCGAAGGCGACUACCUGGCCUGUUCUUGACGCUGAGGCGCGAAAGCUAGGGGAGCAAACGGG